AAGGGGGGUGCGCGCGUUGUUCGGCAUUAUUGGGCGUAAAGAGCGUGUAGGGGGUCGAAUAAGUCAGAUGUGAAAUCUCUGGGCUUAACACAGGACGAGCAUUAGAUACUAUUCGGCUAGAGUAGGGGAGAGGAAAGUGGAAUUCCUGGUGUAGAUGUGAUAUUCGUAGAUAUCAGGAGGACCACCGUUAUCGUGGGCGACUUUCUGACCCUAAACUGACGCUGAGACGCGAAAGCGUGGGUAUCAAACAG
rnacentral:rRNA from 1 species